rnacentral:rRNA from 1 species
CCUAGGGAGGCAGCAGUGGGGAAUAUUGGACAAUGGGGGGAACCCUGAUCCAGCCAUGCCGCGUGUGUGAAGAAGGCCCUCGGGUUGUAAAGCACUUUCAGUGAGGAAGAACGCCUGGUGGUUAAUACCCAUCAGGAAAGACAUCACUCACAGAAGAAGCACCGGCUAACUCCGUGCCAGCAGCCGCGGUAAUACGGAGGGUGCGAGCGUUAAUCGGAAUUACUGGGCGUAAAGCGCGCGUAGGUGGCUUGAUAAGCCGGUUGUGAAAGCCCCGGGCUCAACCUGGGAACGGCAUCCGGAACUGUCAAGCUAGAGUGCAGGAGAGGAAGGUAGAAUUCCCGGUGUAGCGGUGAAAUGCGUAGAGAUCGGGAGGAAUACCAGUGGCGAAGGCGGCCUUCUGGACUGACACUGACACUGAGGUGCGAAAGCGUGGGUAGCAAACAGGAUUAGAUACCCUUGUAGUC